rnacentral:sRNA from 1 species
AGAUAUUUUAUAAUGUUUCCUAUACCGAUAAUUCGAGCCACCCUAAUUAAUCGGGCGGCAUUGUGAGAGUGUGUUGGUAUUAUCCUGUCAGCCUGUCAGCAGUGAGCUAGUGAGAAAUGAGCGAAGCGAUGAGAGGGUGUGAGUGAAACACAUACAACAGCUUGUUGAGCGAUAAAGCAAUUAGAAGGAAAAUGGGAUUUUGCAUUUGAAAUGUUGUUACAAUGCUUGGCCAUUAUUCCAGAAUCCCGAGCACCGAGCACCAAGCACCAAGCACCAAACACCGAACACCACUGGGUGUUGGAAAUGGACGAACACUUUGUUGUUUGCACAAUAAGCAAGGAUGUGCUUUAAGUCCCUGUGUGGAAAAUCCCUUAACUGACCUACUUCACUGCUACAUGGAGAAGAAUUUGGCCAUUAAAUCUGGGCUCAGUAUUGUUAGAUCAAGCUUUUCAUUGGAGAAGAGAAUCGUUUAUGCGUUUUUGGCAUGCAUUUAAAGUUGAAUUUGCUGAGUUUGAAGCGGAACAAUAUUAAUUAAACCAAAAUUUGUAUAUUUUUAUCGCAGUGUAGCUUGUGUUCUGCUUUCUAUUUCUUGUUCUGAAUGCAGUUUUGCUGUCAAGGAGCUCCGUUCUUCAUCUUCUGCCAACGCCG